UACGAAGGGGGCUAGCGUUGCUCGGAAUCACUGGGCGUAAAGCGCACGUAGGCGGCUUCUUAAGUCAGGGGUGAAAUCCUGGAGCUCAACUCCAGAACUGCCUUUGAUACUGAGUAGCUUGAGUCCGGGAGAGGUGAGUGGAACUGCGAGUGUAGAGGUGAAAUUCGUAGAUAUUCGCAAGAACACCAGUGGCGAAGGCGGCUCACUGGCCCGGUACUGACGCUGAGGUGCGAAAGCGUGGGAGCAAACAGG
rnacentral:rRNA from 1 species